rnacentral:ncRNA from 1 species
UAAAGGUUUGGUUCUAGCCUUUUUAUUAGUUCUUAAUAAAAUUAUACAUGCAAGUAUCCACCCCCCAGUGAAAAUGCCCUUAAACUUACUUAUAAUUAAGAGGAGCAGGUAUCAAGCACACUUAAUGUAGCUCACAACACCUUGCUAAGCCACACCCUCACGGGACACAGCAGUAAUAAAAAUUAAGCAAUUAACGGAAGUUUGACUUAGUUAUAUUAUUUAAAGUCGGUCAACUUCGUGCCAGCCACCGCGGUCAUACGAAGGACUUGAACUAAUAAAUACCGGCGUAAAGCGUGAUUAAGAUCUUUAAGCAAUAAAACAAAAACUAUUCUAUGCCGUAAAAAGCCAGAGAAUACUUAUAAUAAAUAACGAAGGUAAUUUUAUAACUUCUGAACCCACGAUAGCUAAGAAACAAACUGGGAUUAGAUACCCCACUAUGCUUAGCCUUAAACCUAGAUAGUCUACAACAAGACAUAUCCGCCAGAGAACUACUAGCAAAGCUAAAAACUUAAAGAACUUGGCGGUGCUUCACACCCACCUAGAGGAGCCUGUUAUGUAAUUGAUACACCCCACUAAACCCUACCACCACUUGCUAAGUCAGUCUAUAUACCGCCAUCCUCAGCAAACCCCAAAAGGCAUAUCAGUAAGCAUAAUGAUAAGACAUAAAAACGUUAGGUCAAGGUGUAACCCAUGUGGUGGAACCUAAUGGGCUACAUUUUCUAGCAUUAGAAAACCCUCAACGAAAGUACUAAUGAAAUUUCAGUACUAAAGGAGGAUUUAGUAGUAAACUGAGAAUAGAGUGCUCAGUUGAAACUGGCCAUGAAGCGCGCACACACCGCCCGUCACCCUCCUUAAUUUACAUAUUAUAAGUAACCUCCAUAAACAGCUACUUAUACACCCCAUAAAGGAGACAAGUCGUAACAAGGUAAGCAUACUGGAAAGUGUGCUUGGAAAACCUC